UGAACUUUCUCGGCGUCAGCAUGCCUUGACACACCACUUCAGCUCUUUUACAUAUUUUAACAUUUGUUUUCAAUGAAUUCUCACCACUAUUUGAUUUACUCCAAAGAGAAGAAGAUGAAGGAGAAAUGAAUGGUUUGAGGAAUAUCAUCAUUGUUUGAGGCAUUUACAAUUUACAAUUUGGUUCCCCUUCACCUUCACUGCACUACAA
rnacentral:misc_RNA from 1 species